GCCAGACUCCUACGGGAGGCAGCAGUGGGGGAUAUUGCACAAUGGGGGGAACCCUGAUGCAGCGACGCCGCGUGGGUGAAGGAGUAUUUCGGUAUGUAAAGCCCUAUCGGCAGGGAAGAAGCAAGACGGUACCUGACUAAGAAGCCCCGGCUAACUACGUGCCAGCAGCCGCGGUAAUACGUAGGGGGCGAGCGUUAUCCGGAUUCACUGGGUGUAAAGGGAGCGUAGACGGCCAAGCAAGCCAGGGGUGAAAGCCCGGGGCCCAACCCCGGGACUGCCCUUGGAACUGCUUGGCUGGAGUGCGGGAGGGGCAGGCGGAAUUCCUGGUGUAGCGGUGAAAUGUGUAGAUAUCAGGAGGAACACCGGUGGCGAAGGCGGCCUGCUGGACUGCAACUGACGUUGAGGCCCGAAAGCGUGGGGAGCAAACAGGAUUAGAUACCCGGGUAU
rnacentral:rRNA from 1 species